CCCGAAUUGUGAAGAGCUAAAAUUAUAUAUAUAUUAAUGUUGAAUAAUUAUUUGUAAUAUAUUUUUUGUAAUUAUAUGUUAUUCGUUUUUCAAGAUAUCUGGUUUUUGAGGAAAUUAAUUUAAUUAAGCUGAAUUUUGAAUUUUUCUAUAUAUUUAGAUUUUAUUAAGAUUUAUGUAAUGUUCAAGGGGAUAAGCUUUUGAACAAAUUUAUAUAAUUAUGUAUUGUAUUAUUUGAUGUAGGAAUAGAAGUUUUCAUCUUUUGAAGUGUAUUAUUACUUGAUUUUAUAAUAUUUAAUUUUUGUUUUUUUAUAUUUUUUACUUGAAUUAUAAUUUAAAUUGUUUUUGUUUUGUAAUAAUGAUUGAAUUAGUAUAUUAAAUUGUUUUUAUAUAAUUGUUUGAUAGGUUAUCUAAAGGAAUUCGGCAAUUAAAUUUUCUGCCUGUUUAUUAAAAACAUGGCCUUUUGAUAAUAAUUUAAGGUCUGACCUGCUCUAUGAUUAAUUAAAUGGCUGCGGUAUUUUGACCGUGCAAAGGUAGCAUAAUCAUUAGUUUUUUAAUUGGAAGCUGGUAUGAAUGGUUGGACAAGAGAAUUACUGUCUCUGGAUAAUUUGAUUUGAAUUUUAUUUUUUAGUGAAAAAGCUUAAAUUUUUGUGAGGGACGAGAAGACCCUAUAGAAUUUUAUAGAUUAAUUUUGGUGAGGUUUUUAGACUAAUUGGUUUAGUUAAAAUUAAUUUGUUUUGUUGGGGUGAUGGAAAAAUUUAUUUAACUUUUUUUUAUUUUAUACAUUGAUAUAUGAGUGUUUGAUCCAUUAAUUAUGAUUAUAAGAUUAAAUUACCUUAGGGAUAACAGCGUUAUUAGUUUGGAGAGUUCUUAUCGAUAGACUAGAUUGCGACCUCGA
rnacentral:rRNA from 1 species